UACGGCGGGUGCAAGCGUUAUCCGGAUUCACUGGGUUUAAAGGGUGCGUAGGUGGUUUUGUAAGUCAGUGGUGAAAGCCCGGAGCUCAACUCCGGAACUGCCAUUGAUACUGCUUAACUUGAAUCAACUUGAGGUGGAUGGAAUAUUACAUGUAGCGGUGAAAUGCUUAGAUAUGUAAUAGAACACCGAUUGCGAAGGCAGUUCACUAAGGUUGUAUUGACACUGAGGCACGAAAGCGUGGGGAUCAAACAGG
rnacentral:rRNA from 1 species